CCUACGGGCGGCAGCAGUGAGGAAUAUUGGUCAAUGGACGAGAGUCUGAACCAGCCAAGUAGCGUGAAGGAUGACUGCCCUAUGGGUUGUAAACUUCUUUUAUAUGGGAAUAAAAUGUUCCACGUGUGCCAUUUUGUAUGUACUUUAUGAAUAAGGAUCGGCUAACUCCGUGCCAGCAGCCGCGGUAAUACGGAGGAUCCGAGCGUUAUCCGGAUUUAUUGGGUUUAAAGGGAGCGUAGGUGGGUUGUUAAGUCAGUUGUGAAAGUUUGCGGCUAAACCGUAAAAUUGCAGUUGAUACUGGCAGUCGUGAGUACAGUAGAGGUAGGCGGAAUUCGUGGUGUAGCGGUGAAAUGCUUAGAGAUCACGAAGAACUCCGAUUGCGAAGGCAGCUUACUAGACUGCAACUGACACUGAGGCUCGAAAGUGUGGGUAUCAAACAGGAUUAGAUACCCUAGUAGUC
rnacentral:rRNA from 1 species